rnacentral:misc_RNA from 1 species
AAAGUCGUAACAAGGUUUCCGUAGGUGAACCUGCGGAAGGAUCAUUAGAGAGAAUCAAGCUCCUAUGAGCAACUCUCCACCCUAUGUUUACAUUACUUUGUUGCUUUGGCAGGCCGUAGGAUGUUAGUCUUCCACUGGCUUCUGCUGGUGAGUGCCUGUCAGAGAAAAUUUAUACUCUAUUUAUUAGUGUUGUCUGAGUAUCAUAUAAUUAUUAAAACUUUCAACAAUGGAUCUCUUGGUUCUG